AGGAGAGCAGAAAAGUAUCCCUUUCCCAUGGUGGCUGCUUCUUGGAGGAAUCCUUGGGAUGAUGUUACUCUGCUUGAUUAUCUUUGUUUGGUGCUUAAAGUCAAAGCAUCAAACUCAACAACAGACUCAUAAUCAAAAAAGUGAAGAGCUGGUUGUUGAAGAGCCAGCAAGUAAAUCAGAAGGAGAAGAAGAAAACAUCCAUUACGGAGAGAUCAGCUUCUCUGUGCUGAGAAAUGAAGCAUCCUCUGACUCAGUGCAGGACAGAGGACAGCAGCAGGAUACAGUGUACGCACAGUUAAAUGUCAUUGAGCCAAAAAACACAGAGCGCGCUCACGGCCAAGAGGAACUGUAUGCUGAGGUCAAGAAAAAGUUAUAAGAUUACAUUAAGAAAGUGUAUUAAAGAAACACACACACACAAAUCUAAUUUUCUAUUAACCCCUCAAAUUACAUCCUGCAGCUUUUUAUGUUCAACUUUAAUUUCACCGCAAUCCAAUAAGGGACUAAUUCACAUGACAGUAGAAAAGACUGAACAUUAAAAACUUUUACAUAAUGUAGCUAUUUUUUUUAUUAUAUUAGUUAUCAUCAUGUUCAUACAAUAUUUGAAUGCUGGCAUGCUGUGUGUGCUCUUGUAUGAUUUAAU